AAAAACAUGUCUUUUUGAUUAUAAUAUAAAGUCUGAUCUGCCCACUGAUAUUUUAUUAAAGGGCCGCAGUAUAUUGACUGUGCAAAGGUAGCAUAAUCAUUUGUCUUUUAAUUGAAGGCUAGAAUGAAUGAUUUGAUGAAAUAUUAACUGUCUCAUUUUAAUAAAAAUAAAAAUUUAAUUUUUUAGUUAAAAAGCUAAAAUUUAAUUAAAAGACGAGAAGACCCUAUAGAUCUUUAUAAUAUUUUAAUUAAUUAAAUUUAUUAUUAUUUAUAUUUAUUUAACAUAUUAUUUUAUUGGGGUGAUAAAAAAAUUUAUUUAACUUUUUUUAAAGAUUAACAUUAAUUUAUGAUAAAUAAUAUUUGAUCCAUUUAUAAUGAUUAUAAGAUUAAGUUACCUUAGGGAUAACAGCGUAAUUUUUUUAGAGAGUUCAUAUCGAUAAAAUAGAUUGCGACCUCGAUGUUGAAUUAAAGUAAAUAUUUAAAUGUAGUAGUUUAAAUUAUAGGUCUGUUCGACCUUUAAAUCUUUACAUGAUCUGAG
rnacentral:rRNA from 1 species